UCCACAAACCCUACACUCUUUCACCCCAUAUGUUGCCCGCCCCUCUGCUUCAGUACCAUCUCUUCUGAAACUUUGGCCACCACUACGACCAUUGCAGCAGAACUCAACCAACAAUUGUUGUUAUCAUCUGCAUCACCUUUAACCACUAAAUUCAUGUAUUUUUUUGCUAAACACGAAGGAAAAAAAAAAGCAGAUGCCUCCUUUUUUUCUUCUUUCUUGGUCCGAUGAAGGUUUUGGUUUAGGUUCUCGAUGGUGCUGACGUAUUCGUCAAUUGGCAAGGGGGUGGUCUUGGUGGUUUAAGGAGGUUGUAAUAGGAUGCAAUUUUCAGUGGUGGAGGAGAUUAAGGUGGGCUGUGAUGGUGGCGAUAUAAGGUGGUUUUGGUGUUGAGUGUGAUGCCAGAAGUGAUGACAGGUGAUAUAAGCAUCCAUUCCAUUCAACAAGCCAAAUACGAAUGUAUUACAACUGUUUUUGCACAAACAAGUGAUACUAUUUGUGGUACAAAGUUGUUGAGAUCCAUAUGCAAGCAUAUCAUCACAAAAAGAAGAAAAAGGCAUAUCCUAUAAACCUUAACAAUGCAACAAAGCAUACAGUUUCCUGUAUCAAAGCUUAUAGGUAUAUUAUUAUAUUCUUUUAUUUUUGGAGGAUGUGAAGGGACUCGACGAGUUGGUGCUUAGACUCGCCAAGUAGGGUCGCAGAUUCUUAUCUGGGUUCAUGGCUGGACUCGGCGAGUUCAUGAGUGGACUCGGCGAGUCCACGCUGUUUAAUGAAACCCUAAUUUCCUGGGUUUGCGACCUAUUUAAAGGCCCUUAGGGCCGUCAUUUGUGGCUACCAAACCCCAGAGAGAAACCGUAAAGGAGCUAGAGCGUUUUUGAGAGGAUAGGAGCCAUUUCUUGAUCUUUGUGGUUGAUUCUUGCAAGAAGGAGGUGUUUCCAGCUUAGAGGAGACCAAAGAGGUUGUGCAUCUGUGGAUUUCGAGCAAGAGACUUCAUCUUUGAGGUAUUAUAUCGCCCCUUUAUCUGUUUUGUUGAAGGAAUCCAUAGAUGUAGAGUUUUAUGACCUUUAUUGGAAGAAAAUUGUGAGGAUAUGGCCCCUAUUCACUUUGAGACUUUAGAUCUGGACCCAUAGUGGUCUAAAGAGCUUAUCUCAGUUUGCUUUAUGUUGAGUUAUGGAGGUGUUGAGCUAAGGAUGUUACUUUUGGGGCUAAAUCACCAAGAGAAGCCUCCUAGACGUCCCAUGAGUGUCAAGAUUCGAACUUUACGUGUUUAUCAGGCUUGGGAAGGUCAGAUCUUCGGAUCCAAGGAAUAGAUCUGACCUCAGGAGGCCAUUUGAGUUUGUGCAUGGCAUGAACUCGCCGAGUCCAAGGGCAGACUCGGCGAGUAGGGUAGGGUUUCCCGUAAAUCACUCAGUAAGUGGACUUGCCGAGUUGGGGGAAUAACUCAGUGAGUCAUAGGGGGAUUAGAGGACUGGAGUUCAUAGCGGAACUCGCCGAGUUGAUCUUGAGACUCGGCGAGUUGAGUUGGGGUGGCCCUGCGAUUCAUGCCAGGUGUGACUCGUCGAGCAAGGGGAGGAACUCGACGUGCCAAGCGAGACUAGAGAGUUAGUGGACACGUGUAGACUCGCCGAUUCGCCCAAGUGCACUCGACGAGUCAGGUCAAAGUUUGACCAUUGACUUUUAUUAACUUGUAGGAUUUGGUCAACAAUGUGGCCUUUGAGCUAAAAGAGGGGUAAAAUGGUAUUUUGCCUUCUGAGGGUGCCUAGAGAAGGUUGAGUCUAGUCCCAAGAGUUAUAUUUAUGAGAAUAUUUACUUUAUGUGAUUGGGCGGAGGCUAGAUCGUAUUUCUACCGAGUCAGAGAUUUACCGAGACAUCUGAGGUGAGUCUUCUCACUAUACUUUACCUAGUGUGGUACAGAGAUAUGUGAUAGUGUAUUUUAGAGUUAUGUGCCAGUACAUUUGCAUGUUAUUUAUGUGUUGAGAUUUAUUGUGAUAUGUGAUAUGCAUGAUUCAGAGUAUAUAGAGUAGGACCAAUAGGUCCAUAGAGCUAGGGCCAAAGGGCCCAUAGAGAGUUGGGACUGGAAGGUUCCACUGAGACACAUUGACCAUAGGAUCAAGAGAGUUAUUGCCUCGAGUGGCUAAUAUGUGUUAGAGUGGUAUUUUGGGGAACUCACUAAGCAAUUAUGCUUACAGUGUUAUGUGUUGUGUUUCAGGUACCAGCGAUGAUCGCGGGAAGGCGUCAGCAUGACUCGUACAUACGCACACUGGAGUACAUAUGUUUUGAUCUUGGGGUUUUGUAUUAAGAUAAUGAUUAUACAAUGUUUUAAAAUAUGGAUGUGAAUGAAAUUAUAUGGUUUUUAAAAUGCGAAAAAUUGUUUAAAUUUUUACGGUGUUACAAAUAUGCUCAAUUCUUCCAAGGGGUAAUUUUUUUUUUUGGCUUUUAAUGUUAGAAACUGAAUCUAUGUGUUUGGUAUUUAUAUUGUGAAUUUCAAGUGAGUGAAAUAGAAGGG